rnacentral:rRNA from 1 species
ACUCCUACGGGAGGCAGCAGUGGGGAAUCUUAGACAAUGGGCGCAAGCCUGAUCUAGCCAUGCCGCGUGAUCGAUGAAGGCCUUAGGGUUGUAAAGAUCUUUCGUGGGGGAAGAUAAUGACGGUACCCCAAGAAGAAGCCCCGGCUAACUCCGUGCCAGCAGCCGCGGUAAUAC